GGAAAGGUGCAGGAGUGGUUGAACUGGCUUGCCUGGAAAGCAAGUAUACUCGCAAGGGUAUCGAGGGUUCGAAUCCCUCUCUUUCCG
rnacentral:tRNA from 1 species